rnacentral:lncRNA from 1 species
AUAUUCGAAAUCAAAAUAAAACUGGAACUCGAACUUAAUUUGUGUCGAUUAUGGAGCGUUGUGUAAUAACAGAAAUGUUAGCCAAUUUUAAAUUUCUUCCGAAAACGGUGUCAUUGAGGGCUUUUUUUUUUAUAAAGUGCCGAGUUUGUGGCUUUUUAAACACGGCAUUUCGGGUUUUAUCUUCCCGGUGCAAUGGACAAGUUAGUGAAUUUAUUCUGUUUGUAGUCUAAAUGGAACGUGUUACUUUUCAGCCCAGAUACCCUCAAUCUUCCGAAGUAGAAGAUUCUACAUCUGCAAGCCGUAAAUUAAUUUUUUUAUACGGCAUGAGGCACACAUUAGUAUUUCCUAUACAACAAAUGCAAUUAAGAAAUUUAGAUGACUCCAACUUUGACAAUUACUUUUUAAUAAACUGUUACUGUAUGUUUAAUAAUGAAUAAUCAAAAUACCUUAAAAAAACAUUAUUAUAUAAAACAAAAUAUAUAUAUAAUUUAACCCAAUAGUUCCAAGCAUUGCAAGAAAUGCUGCUAUGCUAGCAACGUCGUUCUAUAACGUUAAGAGAAAAAGUUAUAAUUCCCGCCAAAAAUUGAUAAUAAGAUUAUUUCCACUGUAGCGGAUUUAAA